rnacentral:rRNA from 1 species
AGAGUUCGAUCCUGGCUCAGGAUGAACGCUGGCGGCGUGCUUAACACAUGCAAGUCGAACGAGAAAUGAAGACGGAAACCUUCGGGCGGAAGGCUUCAUUUCGAGUGGCGGACGGGUGAGUAACGCGUGGGUAACCUGCCUCAUACAGGGGGAUAACAGUUGGAAACGACUGUUAAUACCGCAUAAGACCACAGCACCGCAUGGUGCGGGGGUAAAAACUCCGGUGGUAUGAGAUGGACCCGCGUUCGAUUAGCCAGUUGGCGGGGUAACGGCCCACCAAAGCGACGAUCGAUAGCCGAUCUGAGAGGAUGACCGGCCACAUUGGGACUGAGACACGGCCCAAACUCCUACGGGAGGCAGCAGUGGGGAAUAUUGCACAAUGGGGGAAACCCUGAUGCAGCGACGCCGCGUGAGUGAAGAAGUAUUUCGGUAUGUAAAGCUCUAUCAGCAGGGAAGAAAAUGACGGUACCUGAGUAAGAAGCCCCGGCUAACUACGUGCCAGCAGCCGCGGUAAUACGUAGGGGGCAAGCGUUAUCCGGAUUUACUGGGUGUAAAGGGAGCGCAGACGGUUGCGCAAGUCUGAAGUGAAAUCCCGAGGCUUAACCACGGGACUGCUUUGGAAACUGUGCGACUUGAGUAUCGGAGGGGCAGGCGGAAUUCCUAGUGUAGCGGUGAAAUGCGUAGAUAUUAGGAAGAACACCGGUGGCGAAGGCGACAAACUGGACGAUAACUGACGUUGAGGCACGAAAGUGUGGGGAGCAAACAGGAUUAGAUACCCUGGUAGUCCACACCGUAAACGAUGGAUACUAGGUGUUGGCAAUGAAUAAUUGUCGGUGCCGGCGCUAACGCAAUAAGUAUCCCACCUGGGGAGUACGACCGCAAGGUUGAAACUCAAAGGAAUUGACGGGGGCCCGCA